GAUGAAGAACGUAGUGAAAUGCGAUAAGCAGUGUGAAUUGCAGAAUUCAGUGAAUCAUCGAAUCUUUGAACGCACAUUGCGCCCCUUGGUAUUCCAUGGGGCAUGCCUGUUCGAGCGUCAUUUGUACCCUCCAGCCCUGCUGGGUAUUGGGCGUUUUGUUCCGCUACGCGCGUGAACUCGCCUCAAAUGCAUUGGCAGCCCGCCGUCCCGUGUGGGAGCGCAGCACAUUUUGCGCUCUCCGCUGCUGACGGUGGCAUCCACAAGUCUACCAUUUUACGCUUGACCUCGGAUCAGGUAGGGAUACCCGCUGAACUUAAGCAUAUCAAUAAGCGGAGGA
rnacentral:misc_RNA from 1 species